rnacentral:rRNA from 1 species
CCUACGGGAGGCAGCAGUGAGGAAUAUUGGUCAAUGGACGCAAGUCUGAACCAGCCAUGCCGCGUGCAGGAAGACGGCUCUAUGAGUUGUAAACUGCUUUUGUACGAGGGUAAACGCAGAUACGCGUAUCUGUCUGCAAGUAUCGUACGAAUAAGGAUCGGCUAACUCCGUGCCAGCAGCCGCGGUAAUACGGAGGAUUCAAGCGUUAUCCGGAUUUAUUGGGUUUAAAGGGUGCGUAGGCGGUCGGAUAAGUUAGAGGUGAAAUCCCGAGGCUCAACUUCGGAAUUGCUUCUGAUACUGUUCGGCUAGAGAGUAGUAGCGGUAGGCGGAAUGUAUGGUGUAGCGGUGAAAUGCUUAGAGAUCAUACAGAACACCGAUUGCGAAGGCAGCUUACCAAGCUACUUCUGACGUUGAGGCACGAAAGCGUGGGGAGCAAACAGGAUUAGAUACCCCUGUAGUC